AGUCCAGGCGAAGGGCACGCACGGACGCCUUCGCAGCCGAGAUCGCGUCCUCCCGCCUUCUCCCCGCGUGAUUUUGACCGCCACGACUCCCCCUGUUGAUUCCAUGAAACACACAACUCCCUCCUUGCCUCCCUGGAGUGGCAAACCGGGAGAGGAGCCCAGAAUGGUAAGCAGGAGCCAGCAUGCCAUCUCCCAGGAGCCUGAGCCAGGGCCUCUCACUUAGGUCUAGUUUCUUGUCCAAGACACCGCCUCUGCCUUUUGCAACAUUGCAAUGAUUGGCGAAAAGAAUGACCUCAUCUCUCUGGCUCAAUCUUGCCCAAUCUCUGGAACCUUCUAUGACUCAGGCAUGCAGAUUCUGGUUCCAACCCCGCCCGAGGGUUGAGCUUGCAGUUUGCAAUUCUCAAGGAAGACAUUUUUUCCUCCUGUACUGCCUGCUACCAGAUGGGUGUUUCAGGAGAGAUUCAUGCAUCCACCACAGAAAUGCCUGAGAUAUACCAGGACAGAGGAACCUUCCAGCAAGCCUUUUAUCUGGCUUCACAAGGAACAAGUGCGUUGUAAUGCUGAGUCCCCCUCAGACUACACCCACACAGCUAUAAAGACACAUCUACCUACACGGGAAAGAAUGUGAGCCUGAGAAUGAGGACCAACCUCUCCUAAAAUGAGAACUCACUCCCUGUCUUACUCAUAAGUGGCACCAAUGUAUACUUCAUGAGGACAGAUUUCAUGCCUGGCUCAUUUCACUGUUAUAUACAUAACCAUCUAGCACACUAUCUGGUCCUCAAGAAAUGAUUGAAUAAAUAGACUCCUAAAAUGAAUGGAAAGUUCCUCAAAGGCGGGGAUUAUGUAUUACACACUUCUGUGUAGCUAUUUUUAAACUUGACAUGUAAUAUACCUAAAGUGUACUAAUCUUAAAUGUAGAGACUAAAGUUUUUAAAAUAUAUCUGUAUAUCUACACUAUAAUCCCUGAAAUGAAUAUAUAAAGCAUUUUCCUAUAGUCCUUUCCCCAGUGCUGAGGAAGUAGGAGAUAUAUGUCAAUAUUUAUCUAUACUCAUUGAUUCAUUAAAUGGUCUCCAGCUACCGUUGUAUAUGGUUCAGUGUCAGUUCAUUCCUGUUUUCCCUGGUUCAAUGGUUCUCAAAUUCUAGCCUUCAUCAGAAUUACUUACAAGGCUUGUAGAAACAGAUUACUGGGCUCCACCCCCAGAUUUUCUGAUUUAGAAGGUCUAUGGUAGAGUUUGAGAAUAUGCUUUUUGAACAAGGUAAUGUUGAUAUGGCUCUAGAGGUGAGGAAGAGGGGGUCUUCCUAAGGGUAUAAAAUAUCUCCCAUUGUCUGACUAUUAAAUGUCUGGUUAGGGGUUCUUCACCUUUUCUUUGUAACAGGUGGCCUGGGCAGCAUGGUGAAGACCCUGUACUCCUCAGAAAAUAUUUCUAAAUUGAAUGAAAUAAAAUACCUAGGACUCCAAA